GGUUGUUUGGCCGAGCGGUCUAAGGCGCCUGAUUCAAGAAUCUCCAGGUUCUUAACCAUUAAAAUAAUGGGAACACUCAGGUAUCGAAAGAUGCAAGAGUUCGAAUCUCUUAGCAACCA